CCGAUGAAGAAGGGGAGCUGGCUGAAGCCGGCUGAGAGGAGACUGACUGGUUUCGACCCGCAACCUGAUUUGGAUAAUGCCAACGUAGGGAAAUAGCGAAAAAGCAGC
rnacentral:ncRNA from 1 species